UUGAAUUUUCCGGGUUUAUUGAAAACAAGAUGGCAGGACAGCGGUACAACAACACUGCGUUCGAAUACAAACAAAAGCAAAUUUAGUAACUUAUAUCAGUUCUAACUUUUAUGCUAAGUAGUCAUAAGUUAAAAUAAUUGCAAUCAUGUCAGAUCAAAAUUUUAUUAAUAUUGGUGACACCUGUCUGGACUUGAGUGAGCUUACUGAUUCUAAUACACUAUUUCAAAAUCCGCUCAAUAUGCAACAACCGAGAGCUUCCACUAUCCAGAGAGACAAUCAGAAUGUUCCUGCUUCGGUAGCUUCAGAGACAGCUCCUGUAACCGACAAUAAUGUCCAGCAUUUCCCAGGAUUUCUUCCUUCAAAGGGGAAUGUUCAAACCGCUGCUCCAGUUUUGUUGACUACUCGUCAAGGACAACAACUAGAGUCCGAAGAAGAAAAUUCAUCCGUUGUUCCUGUCACUUCAUCAGGCUAAUGAAUAAGGUUCAUGCUCUUUGGAUAUUGGUUCAUAAUAACCAGUAGCAAAUAAAAAAAACAUGAUCAAAGGAAAAUAAUAAAAAGAUCUAGAAUAU